CUUGUUUAAGAAAACACACUGAGAAGACACAGCCUAAGAAAAAUAACCAGAAAAUGAAAAGGGAGCAACCGCAGACCAUGAGCAGGAAUUGAAGACAUUCAAGAAAAAUGUCUCACCUGUAAAAACAGUUAUGGUUGAGUCAUCCUGGCUUGCAGCAUUCAUGGCAAGGAGAAUAUCUUCAUACAUCUGCAUGAAAAGGAAAAUGAAGAAACGGACACAAAGAAAGCCCCGGCACCUUGUGGAUACACACAACCCGCCUGAAAGUCAUGACUUCUGAAUAGCGCGUGCCCAAUUGUUAGCUCAUCUUCACAAACCGAACGGGAGACAUCACCAAGGUAGGAGGAAGGUGACUCUACAGCGUUCAGAGUGAAAAAGCAGCACCAGAGCACCUCUCAGGACGACAGGCAGCAUUACCUGC